rnacentral:rRNA from 1 species
UACGAAGGGGGCUAGCGUUGCUCGGAAUUACUGGGCGUAAAGCGCACGUAGGCGGCUUUCUAAGUCGGGGGUGAAAUCCUGGAGCUCAACUCCAGAACUGCCUUCGAUACUGGAGCUUGAGUCCGGGAGAGGUGAGUGGGAACUGCGAGUGUAGAGGUGAAAUUCGUAGAUAUUCGCAAGAACACCCAGUGGCGGAAGGCGGCUCAC